GAAAAGAAGGAAGGGAGAAAGGAAGGGAGGGGAAGGAAGGAAGGAAGGAAGGAAGGAAGGAAGGAAGGAAGGAAGGAAGGAAGGAAGGAAGGAAGGAAGGAAGGAAGGAAGGAAGGAAGGAAGGAAGGAAGCGGGAAGGAAGGAAAGAAGGGAGUGAAAGAGGAAAAAUGAAAACAAUUCUUUAUAUACUGAAAGCACAUUGACACACUGUUG
rnacentral:lncRNA from 1 species